rnacentral:rRNA from 1 species
GAUGAACGCUGGCGGCGUGCUUAACACAUGCAAGUCGAACGGGAUCCAUCAGGCUUUGCUUGGUGGUGAGAGUGGCGAACGGGUGAGUAAUGCGUGACCGACCUGCCCCAUACACCGGAAUAGCUCCUGGAAACGGGUGGUAAUGCCGGAUGCUCCGACUCCUCGCAUGGGGUGUCGGGAAAGAUUUCAUCGGUAUGGGAUGGGGUCGCGUCCUAUCAGGUAGUCGGCGGGGUAACGGCCCACCGAGCCUACGACGGGUAGCCGGCCUGAGAGGGCGACCGGCCACAUUGGGACUGAGAUACGGCCCAGACUCCUACGGGAGGCAGCAGUGGGGAAUAUUGCACAAUGGGCGCAAGCCUGAUGCAGCGACGCCGCGUGCGGGAUGACGGCCUUCGGGUUGUAAACCGCUUUUGAUCGGGAGCAAGCCUUCGGGUGAGUGUACCUUUCGAAUAAGCACC